rnacentral:misc_RNA from 1 species
UUUUGGUUGCAUCAGUUUGCUCAUCUUCAUCACUCUCAUUAUCACUUCCAACUAUAUCGAUGCACUCAUCUUCCCCACUCUCAUUAUCACUUUCAGCUGUAUUAGUAUGCUCAUCUUCAUCACUCUCGUUAUCACCUUCAGCUGCAAGUUCUUCUUUCUCAAGUUCAUCUAACCUGGACAUUAUAUGAGCAUAUUCAUCGUCUUCAACUCUAACUUUCUUGUCAACUUUCUCUGAUUUAGAUUGUUCUUCAGUAUAACUUUUCUCCACAUAAUCUUCUCUUAUCUCCACAAGGCCUUCCGCAGCCUCAGCAGCUGUGGAAC